rnacentral:rRNA from 1 species
GCAUACCGGCUUGUCAAAGUCUCAUCUCGUCUGAUCUCAGAAGCUAAGCAAGGCUGGGCCUGGUUAGUGCUUGGAUGGGAGACUGAGGGAAUAUCAGAUGCC